AGUCGAACGCGAAAGGGACUUCGGUCCCGAGUAGAGUGGCGCACGGGUGAGUAACGCGUAAGUGAUCUACCCCUGUAUCUGGGAUAACUGUGGGAAACUGCAGCUAAUACCGGAUACGUUCAUGUUCUUGCGAGUAUAUGAAGAAAGAUGGCCUCUGAUUCAAGCUAUUGUACAGGGAGGAGCUUGCGUACCAUUAGCUAGUUGGUAGGGUAAUGGCCUACCAAGGCAACGAUGGUUAGCGGGUCUGAGAGGAUGAUCCGCCACACUGGAACUGAAACACGGACCAGACUCCUACGGGAGGCAGCAGUGAGGAAUAUUGCGCAAUGGGGGCAACCCUGACGCAGCGACGCCGCGUGGAUGAUGAAGGCCUUCGGGUCGUAAAAUCCUGUCAGAUGGGAAGAAGUGUGCGAUGGCUAAUACCUGUUGCAUUUGACGGUACCAUCAGAGGAAGCACCGGCUAACUCCGUGCCAGCAGCCGCGGUAAUACGGAGGGUGCAAGCGUUGUUCGGAAUUACUGGGCGUAAAGCGCGCGUAGGCGGUUUGUUAAGUCAGAUGUGAAAGCCCAAGGCUCAACCUUGGACGUGCAUUUGAAACUGGCAGACUUGAGUAUUGGAGGGGGUGGUGGAAUUCCCGGUGUAGAGGUG
rnacentral:rRNA from 1 species